rnacentral:lncRNA from 1 species
AACAGAUGAGAUAUAUAUCAUGAUAGCAACUAAUCAUCAAAUAGCUUUAAGUCUAGAAUACAAACGAAUAACAGAAUGUAGGGGUGUGCUAGCUAUCAUCUCAGCUUGGAGGGACUAUGGAAAACAAAAAGAAAUUAUUGAAAACAUGUAUAUAUAAAAUCUCACACAACAAACCAAGGACACAAGGAUGAAAAAGCAAAGGCAGAAAUAUAACAGAAAACAAGGAAUUGCAUAUUGAUCCUUCUCUAUUCACAACUGCAUAGAGAAUAUGAGACUGAAAAAUGAGGCAGUGAUUUGUGAAUGACAGCUGAAAUGAACAGGUACGGCCAUUAAAGUUUCUACACCCUGCUAUGGACCAUCAUUCUUUCUCAUUAUGGCAUGACAAUUUGUUAGACCAUAUAUACAUUUUUUUUUUCACUUUUGAAAGUUAAAACUAGUUCUCUUUUUUUUAANNNNNNNNNNNNNNNNNNNNNNNNNNNNNNNNNNNNNNNNNNNNNNNNNNNNNNNNNNNNNNNNNNNNNNNNAAUUUGUUAGACCAUAAAUACAUUUUUUUUUCACUUUUGAAAGUUAAAACUAGUUCUCUUUUUUUUAAACAAAGAAAAGUCAAUGGCAGCACCACAGCUACGACUGGACAGAUACUGCAAAAUAAAACCUUGAUCCAUUCUGUCUGCCCUUCUCAUACUAUAUAUCCACUCCCUUCUUCAAAGAGAAUCCCAACCUGCAAAAGCCAUUUACCUAGAAAUGCCAUCCUCAUAUCUCACAUCCAACUGACAUGAUCCCAAAUAAGAAAAGGUAAGAACCUGAUUGUUGACCAAUGUCAUAUACAGCAUGAAUAGGGUUCACUUUUAUAAGAUUUUCCUCAAAUCAGAAGUUCCUCAAAAUAAAAUAAGAAGCAUUGCAAGAACUACAUUUGCUACAUCAGCAAAACAAGAUAGCAUAUUAUCUCCAAAUAAGUCUAAUACCAGCAUCCUCAAAACCCUAACUCCAGAUCCAAAACCAACUUCCAUCCACCUCAUAAGUCAUAACCAUCCCAUUAAGCAUCUUUCCAAUACAAGAACAAAUAAGAAAGUGGGUUGGUUCCUUUAAUCAAACCCUCGAAUCAAAAGAGGCCACAUGGGAACCACAAUGAAAACUACAGUACUUUGUGACUGUCAAUUCAAAACUUCCAUAGAUUCCCUAAACUUUUCCCUUAAAUUAUGAAAUUAAUGAAUGCUAAAUUCUAGCCCUUCCACCAGGAACUUUAUCAGCUGCCUUUGACAAAUAUUAUUAGCAUGAAGGGCAUUACGGACAGAAAUUUACAUGAUUGGUAUGAUGAUUCAGCCUCGCAUAACAUAAAUUUUCAAUAGCAUGAAGGACAAAUUUACAGAAAGAAAUUUACAUGAUUGACCAUGAUGAUUCAUCCUUGCAUAACAUAAAUUUUCAAAGUACCAAUGAAUGCAUUCAGGAUGAAACACUAGGGAGGUUAGAAGAAUGAGAAUUUGGGGGAACACAAAAUGGCCCUGGCUUUAAAAGGACGUAGCAAACACAAGCAAUAUCAAAAUAAUUGCCAGAAAUAUUGAGAAGAAGCUGCUUAUAAACUUUAAUAUUGCCAAAUUUUAAUAGACUUCUUAUAAAGACAAUUAAUUACAGCAAAAUAGCUAAUUUAUGUUUCGCCAUAUGCAGAGAGUGAAGGAGAGCUUUUCUUCCCAUUCCAAACUUGAAAAAUCAGAAUGAGUGGGUUACUCACUGUUCAUAAAACAUCAAUUAUCUUCUCUCAAUAGUAAAGACCCUUGCGGAAGGUGAUCAAUUUUCAUAUAGAAAAAAUUUACACCAAC